rnacentral:rRNA from 1 species
GACGAACGCUGGCGGCGUGCCUAAUACAUGCAAGUAGAACGCUUAAGAGAGGAGCUUGCUCUUCUUGGAUGAGUUGCGAACGGGUGAGUAACGCGUAGGUAACCUGCCUUGUAGCGGGGGAUAACUAUUGGAAACGAUAUCUAAUACCGCAUAACAAUGACUGACACAUGUCAUUUAUUUGAAAGGGGCAAUUGCUCCACUACAAUCUGGACCUGCGUUUUAUUAGCUAGUAGGUUAGGUAAUGGCCCACCUAGGCGACGAUACAUAGCCGGGCCGGUAGGGAGGUCGGCCAAAAUGGGACUGGGACAAGGCCCAGAAUCCUAAGGGAAGGAGCAGGAGGGAAUCUUUGGAAAGGGGGGCAAAGCUGAACGAGGAAAGCCGGGGGGGGGAAGAAGGUUGUCGGAUCGGAAAGCUAGGUUGUAAGGGAAGAACGGGUGUGAGAGUGGAAAGUUCACACUGUGACGGUAGCUAAACAGAAAGGGACGGCUAACUACGUG